CAAAGUCUUGGCAGAGAAGUGGGGAUUGGCUGUGUCCAGAGACAAGCUGUGGGAAUGUAAAUUUUGCAUUCCGUGGUGCUUGUAAUCGUUGCGGAACUGUACGUCCUUCUAGUGUCAGUGGAGUAUGUGCUGGUAGAGGGUCUCAAAAGGUCACUGUCCGGAUGACUGUUGAUGAUUUGGAAAAAUGGUACCAGUUCAAAAAUUGGUACCAGGUCAAAGGUACAGAACAUGGUGAUAAGAAAAUGUGUGAAGUUGCUACUGUCUGUGCUAAGCAUUGUAGUAAUAUCUCAACUCCUGUUUGGUCUGAUCGCAAAGGUGCACCAUGGCUGAUUGAUUCAGGUGCAUCUCGACAUAUGGCUGGUUCCUAUGGAGAAUUUCAUGAUUAUAUUCCUGAGAUAGGUAACCAAAGUGUUAAAUUGGCCGAUGGUUCAGCUCAAGCCAUCACGGGUUCAGGAAAAGUUAUAUGAACUUGGGACUGGAAAAAAACUCGGGAUGGGAAGCUUACGUGAUGGCUUAUAUUACCUGGACAAGGAGAUGUCACCCUUUGUUGCAGCUAUGUUAUCUUCUUCACCAUUAGAAGAGUUUCUACUGCAACAUCGCAGGUACUUCUGAACAAAAUGGCUUGGCUGAAAGGAAGAACAGACAUCUUUUGGAGGUUACCCGGUGUUUAAUGAUGGCUAUGAAUGUUCCAAAUUUUUUGUGGAGUGAGGCUGUGAUGACAGCAGCCUACCUGAUAAAUAGAAUGCCAUCUAGAGUGCUUGGGUAUAAAGCCCCAAUAGAAUGUUUAACUGGUGAGAUUUCUUAUGUGGUUCCACCCAAGGAAAACAGAAGGGAUAUAAAUGUUGGUGCCCAUCAGAGAGGCGAAUGUUUGUAAGCAUGGAUGU